UACGUAGGGUCCGAGCGUUGUCCGGAAUUACUGGGCGUAAAGAGCUCGUAGGUGGUUUGUCGCGUUGUUCGUGAAAACUCACAGCUCAACUGUGGGCGUGCGGGCGAUACGGGCAGACUUGAGUACUGCAGGGGAGACUGGAAUUCCUGGUGUAGCGGUGGAAUGCGCAGAUAUCGGGAGGAACACCGGUGGCGAAGGCGGGUCUCUGG
rnacentral:rRNA from 1 species